rnacentral:rRNA from 1 species
CGGCGGACGGGUGAGUAACGCGUGGGUAGCCUGCCUCAUACAGGGGGAUAACAGUUGGAAACGGCUGCUAAUACCGCAUAAGCGCACAGUACCGCAUGGUACCGUGUGAAAAACUCCGGUGGUAUGAGAUGGACCCGCGUCUGAUUAGCUAGUUGGUGGGGUAACGGCCUACCAAGGCGACGAUCAGUAGCCGACCUGAGAGGGUGACCGGCCACAUUGGGACUGAGACACGGCCCAA